UUUCCCAGUCACGAUACGAAGGUUUUUGGAUUGUAAACUUCUGUUAAUUGGGAAGAAAAAGUGUAAAUGAAAAAGUUAUAUUUAUGACGUUACCAGUAAAGAAAGUCCCGGCUAACUUCGUGCCAGCAGCCGCGGUAAUACGAAGGGGGCAAGCGUUAUUCGGAAUGAUUGGGUGUAAAGGGCGUGUAGGCGGUAAAAUAAGUUUAUUGUUUAAUUCUUCAGCCUAACUGAAGGUGUGCAUUAAAUACUGUUUUGCUAGAGUUUGAAAGAGAAAAGUGGAAUUCUUGGAGUAGCGGUUAAAUGCGUAGAUCUCAAGAGGAACGCCAAUGGCGAAGGCAGCUUUUUGGUUCAAUACUGACGCUAAGGCGCGAAGGCGUGGGGAGCAAACAGGAUUAGAUACCCUGGUAGUCCACGCAGUAAACGAUGAUCACUAGACGUCUGGAGUUUUCUGGGUGUCGCAGCUAACGCGUUAAGUGGUCCACCUGAGUAGUACGGUCGCAAGAUUAAAACUUAAAGAAAUUGACGGGGGUCCGCACAAGCGGUGGAACAUGUGGUUUAAUUCGAUACUACGCGAGAAACCUUACCUGGGUUUGACAUGCAUAUGAUCGUUGUAGAAACACAACCUUUUUAUGGAAACAUAAGGCGUAUGCACAGGUGCUGCAUGGCUGUCGUCAGCUCGUGUCGUGAGAUGUUAGGUUAAGUCCUUUAACGAGCGCAACUCUUGUCGUUAGUUGCUAUUCAUUUAUUUGAAGCACUCUAAUGAGACUGCCCGGGAAACCGGGAGGAAGGAGGGAAUGAUGUCAAGUCCUCAUGGUCCUUAUAUCCAGGGCUACACACGUGUUACAAUGGUUGGUACAGAAAGUUGCAAAUUUGUGAAAAUUAGCUAAUCUUUAAAAGCCAAUCUAAGUUCGGAUUGGAGUCUGAAAUUCGACUCCAUGAAGUUGAAAUCGCUAGUAAUCGCAUAUCAGAAUGAUGCGGUGAAUACGUUCUCGGACCUUGUACACACCGCCCGUCAAGCCAUGGGAGCUGUUUGUACCAGAAAAUAUUUUAGCUAACCGUAAGGGGGCGAAUAUAGAAGGCAUGGGGUUAUCGU
rnacentral:rRNA from 1 species